UGCUCUCUGAUAUUAUUUAAGGGCCGCGGUAAUUUGACCGUGCAAAGGUAGCGUAAUAGUUAGUUUUUUAAUUGAAAUCUUGUAUGAAUGGUUGGACAAAAGAAAUACUGUCUCUGAAAUUUUUAUUGAAUUUAACUUUUAAGUGAAAAGGCUUAAAUAUUUUAAAAAGACGAUAAGACCCUAUAAAGCUUUAUAAUAGAUUUUUAUUCGAUUAAAUUAAUAAAUAAAAUUUUAAUAAAUUAUAUUAUUUUGUUGGGGAGAUAAGAUUAUAAUUUAAAAUAACUGAUAAAAAUUAAUACAACUAUAUAUGGUUAAUUAAAUAGUAGAUCCUAUAAUAAAGAUUAAAAGUUUAAGUUACUUUAGGGAUAACAGCGUUAUUUUUCUUGAGAGUUCUUAUCGAAAGAAAAGAUUGCGACCUCGAUGUUGAAUUAAAAUUCCUUAAUAAUUGUAGAAGUUAUUAUUAGGAGGUCUGUUCGACCUUUAAAUUUUUA
rnacentral:rRNA from 1 species